rnacentral:lncRNA from 1 species
ACCCUUAGGAGCUUGUCAUGUGGUUAAAUCAAGAUUCACUUGCACGUUCACUCAUAUAUGCUACUUCUACUCCGGAAGUACCAUCCACAUAUAUCCACCCAUUCCAUCUCCAGAAUCACCCAAAAAUAUUCUACUCCUAAUCCGGGAGAGAAUAGCCAAAAUAUUUCUGUUUUCCCUUGUGAAAUAAAUGCUCAAGUUAUCUUGUUACUACCACUUGCUAUAUUAUCUCAAGAGAUGAAUGUUCUAAAAAAAAGAGAAAUACGAGGAAAUAAAAAGGAGCAAGUGCUCGGAACCUCGAAAGAAAAGAGAGAGUGAGACGAGAGGUAAAAAUGGACAAGUGUCCGAUAGUAGAAUUAGGGGUACAAGAUACCCACCGGAGAGAAAAGAAAAAGAAGAGCAUCUCAUUCUCCUCAUAAAGUUUCAAAAAAAAAAGCAAGAAAGGUAUGUAUCCCCUCAAAAGAGGAAAGUAGAAUUAGACUUCCACCACCAUUGUUUUCACCAUUGUUAUCACCAUCAUCACCAUACAUCAUUUAUUCGCCACACAUGCACAUCUUGAUUAAACUCAUUGGCUUGUUUCUUUGGAUCCAUGGUUUGACUAUGCAAUACAUGUCUUGUAAGUAUGUAUACUUUAUCUCCCACCUAUGAGCUCCAGAUAUUAAAGCCUUAUUAGAGUAGGGUGAGAGAGAAGGCAAAGUCACUAUGCUUUAUACCACAAAUACCACAUAUAUUGAGAGAAGGCAUAUACCAUCACUGCC